GAUGAACGCUGGCGGCGUGCCUAAUACAUGCAAGUCGAGCGAACGGACGAGAAGCUUGCUUCUCUGAUGUUAGCGGCGGACGGGUGAGUAACACGUGGAUAACCUACCUAUAAGACUGGGAUAACUUCGGGAAACCGGAGCUAAUACCGGAUAAUAUUUUGAACCGCAUGGUUCAAAAGUGAAAGACGGUCUUGCUGUCACUUAUAGAUGGAUCCGCGCUGCAUUAGCUAGUUGGUAAGGUAACGGCUUACCAAGGCAACGAUGCAUAGCCGACCUGAGAGGGUGAUCGGCCACACUGGAACUGAGACACGGUCCAGACUCCUACGGGAGGCAGCAGUAGGGAAUCUUCCGCAAUGGGCGAAAGCCUGACGGAGCAACGCCGCGUGAGUGAUGAAGGUCCUCGGAUCGUAAAACUCUGUUAUUAGGGAAGAACAUAUGUGUAAGUAACUGUGCACAUCUUGACGGUACCUAAUCAGAAAGCCACGGCUAACUACG
rnacentral:rRNA from 1 species